rnacentral:rRNA from 1 species
UGGAGUCAUGUGGUUUAAUUCGACGCAACGCGAAGAACCUUACCAGGGCUUGACAUCCCCUGACCGCGUAUGAAAGUACGUUUUCACCCUCGGGUGACAGGGAGACAGGUGGUGCAUGGUUGUCGUCAGCUCGUGUCGUGAGAUGUUGGGUUAAGUCCCGUAACGAGCGCAACCCCUGUGGUUAGUUGCCAGCAAGUAGCGUUGGGCACUCUAGCCAGACUGCCGGUGAUAAAUCGGAGGAAGGUGGGGACGACGUCAAAUCAUCAUGCCCUUUAUGUCCUGGGCUACACACGUACUACAAUGGCCGUUACAACGGGAAGCGAAGGAGCAAUCCGGAGCAAAUCCCUUAAAGGCGGUCCCAGUUCAGAUUGUGGGCUGAAACUCGCCCACAUGAAGGCGGAAUUGCUAGUAAUUGCAGAUCAGCAUGCUGCAGUGAAUACGUUCCCGGGCCUU